rnacentral:snoRNA from 1 species
GUUCCCAAUGAUGCUUUCCUUUUUACCAUGCUAAUGCUGAUGACAUGAUUGUUACUUCUAUUGUACUGAGGGAACU